rnacentral:lncRNA from 1 species
GAAAAUUUGACUCAAAACACACACAAGGUGUGUGUUCUGGUCGAUGUUUACACAUAGCAAGAAAGGGGUUCCUUCUUUUGAACCCUAAACUCACUAUUUGAUCAAAAUCAGAGGGAAAACAAGCUAGGAAUUUGGGGCUUUUACUAAAUUCGCGAUCACCAAGACAAGGGGGUUGUAAGGUAUGUCGAAAAUUAUGAUAUGUGUCCGAAGUCGGCUGAACUGUUUUGACAGCAAGCUGAUUGGAAGCAUUUUGACUUCUGAGCUGAUUUUGCGAAAAUCAUAAUAAAUUCUAGGAAGCUCGGAUUGAGCUGAUUCUUUUUGCGCUGGAAAGAUAUUUUAGUAUUCUACAUUUCAUCUUUGAUCACGAAAGGCUAAAUAAAACCGUAAAGUGGUUAAAAGAGUCGAUUCAGUAGCUACAUUGUA